ACGGCUCAGUAACACGUGGACAACCUACCCUCAGAUCUGGGAUAAACCUGGGAAACUGGGUAUAAUACCGGAUAGGUCUUGGAUGCUGGAAUGCACCGAGGCCCAAAGCUCCGGCGUCUGAGGAUGGGUCUGCGGCCUAUCAGGGUAGUAGUGGGUGUAAAGUACCUACUAGCCUACGACGGGUACGGGUCGUGAGAGCGAGAGCCCGGAGAUGGAUUCUGAGACACGAAUCCAGGCCCUACGGGGUGCAGCAGGCGCGAAAACUUUACAAUGCCGGCAACGGCGAUAAGGGGACCUCGAGUGCCAGGAUACAGUCCUGGCUGUCGUAAUGCCUAAAAAGCAUUAUAUAGCAAGGGCCGGGCAAGACCGGUGCCAGCCGCCGCGGUAACACCGGCGGCUCGAGUGGUAACCGCUAUUAUUGGGUCUAAAGGGUCUGUAGCCGGCCUGGUAAGUCUUUUGGGAAAUCCGGCAGCUCAACUGUCGGGCUAUCAGAGGGUACUGCUAGGCUCGAGACCGGGAGAGGUGAGAGGUACUUCAUGGGUAGGGGUGAAAUCUUGUAAUCCUUGAAGGACCACCAGUGGCGAAGGCGUCUCACCAGAACGGAUCUGACGGCAAGGGACGAAAGCUAGGGGCACGAACCGGAUUAGAUACCCGGGUAGUCCUAGCCGUAAACGAUACUCGCUAGGUGUCGGCCACGGUGCGACCGUGGUCGGUGCCGUAGGGAAGCCGUGAAGCGAGCCACCUGGAAG
rnacentral:rRNA from 1 species